rnacentral:rRNA from 1 species
UCGAGCGGCGAACGGGUGAGUAACGCGUGGAUGACCUACCUUGAGGGUGGGGGAUAACCCGGGGAAACUCGGGCUAAUACCGCAUAUGAUCGAGAGAUCAAAGGGGCGCAAGUCCCGCCAUGAGAGGGGUCCGCGUACGAUUAGCUAGUUGGUAGGGUAAUGGCCUACCAAGGCGACGAUCGUUAGCCGGCCUGAGAGGGUGAUCGGCCACACUGGAACUGAGACACGGUCCAG